ACGGUGAGUAACACGUGGGUAACCUGCCUCAUAGAGGGGAAUAGCCUUUCGAAAGGAAGAUUAAUACCGCAUAAGAUUGUAGUGCCGCAUGGCAUAGCAAUUAAAGGAGUAAUCCGCUAUGAGAUGGACCCGCGUCGCAUUAGCUAGUUGGUGAGGUAACGGCUCACCAAGGCGACGAUGCGUAGCCGACCUGAGAGGGUGAUCGGCCACAUUGGGACUGAGACACGGCCCAGACUCCUACGGGAGGCAGCAGUGGGGAAUAUUGCACAAUGGGGGAAACCCUGAUGCAGCAACGCCGCGUGAGUGAUGACGGUCUUCGGAUUGUAAAGCUCUGUCUUCAGGGACGAUAAUGACGGUACCUGAGGAGGAAGCC
rnacentral:rRNA from 1 species